GAGCACAGUGGUCACUCAAAAGAGGGAGAGUGAGUUCAGCCUAUCAUCUGAGAUCCGAGUAUGAUUGGGGAAAUAUCCUGAAAUAGUCUAUGAUUUGAAGAAAUGGAUAGAUGGCUAGAAUAAUAUGCUAGAUGGUAGUCAAGUUACUAACUGCAGAAUUGAUUUGAUAAAAUUCUCAUCGUGUCUCCUGACUUAGGAGAAAUAUUGGGUCUGAUGAAUGGGUAAAAUUGCCAGGUGAAAAGAAUUUGGUCUGUAAGAUUUGGCAGCACCCUGAGGUUUGCCAUAUCUGAUGGCCUGGCUUUAGUGGCAGCACCUAGUGAAGGCCCAGGUGUCCUUCUGACAACCUUUACCGCCUACCGUUUUGUCCUUACUUAUGUUGAAUCACUACAGACAGGCUGUUGAAUUCAGCUGUCUGUGGAGAAAUUAUACCAACCACAUGGUUAGACAGAAGGAAUACAAUAUAUUGCUUAAUUUGUAUCUGAAAGCUAAGCAACAUGGAAAAAAAUCAAGCCUGCUCAGUCACUUCCAUGAGGACAAAUGAAGACACUUCAAGGGUACCAAACGCAGUCAGAUGAUACUUCCUGACAGCAUCCAAGAGCAAGUCUCACCACCACAUCUGUCAAUACAAAAGAAAACGAGGAGCUGCCAAUUUGUCUGUUUAUAGGUGCCAAUAAAAUCCUGCACAGAACUUUAGUCAACAAGACUAUUUCAGAAGGGGUGGCCAACAGUGUGGCCUUUCACUGGCAAGGGCCACCUUUGUCAUCACUUAAGAAAUAAAACCUGCCAAGUUUUC